rnacentral:rRNA from 1 species
AUUGAACGCUGGCGGCAGGCUUAACACAUGCAAGUCGAGCGGGGUGAUGGUGCUUGCACUAUCACUUAGCGGCGGACGGGUGAGUAAUGCUUAGGAAUCUGCCUAUUAGUGGGGGACAACAUCUCGAAAGGGAUGCUAAUACCGCAUACGUCCUACGGGAGAAAGCAGGGGAUCACUUGUGACCUUGCGCUAAUAGAUGAGCCUAAGUCGGAUUAGCUAGUUGGUGGGGUAAAGGCCUACCAAGGCGACGAUCUGUAGCGGGUCUGAGAGGAUGAUCCGCCACGCUGGGACUGGGACACGGCCCAGACUCCUACGGGAGGCAGCAGUGGGGAAUAUGGGACAAUGGGGGGAACCCUGAUCCAGCCAUGCCGCGUGUGUGAAGAAGGCCUUAUGGUUGUAAAGCACUUUAAGCGAGGAGGAGGCUCUUUUGGUUAAUACCCAAGAUGAGUGGACGUUACUCGCAGAAUAAGCACCGGCUAACUCUGUGCCAGCCGCCGCAGUAA